rnacentral:rRNA from 1 species
CUCGGGUUAGUUACCUAUCUCAGUAAAGUAUAUGUUUGGUUUGAGGAACGUCUUGAGAUUCAGGCAAUUGCGGAUGACAUAACUAGUACAUAUGUUCCUCCCCAUGUCAACAUAUUUUAUUGUUUAGGGGGAAUUACACUUACUUGUUGUCUAGUACAAGUCACUACCGUUUCUGCUAUGACUUUUUACUACCGGCCAACCGUUACAGAGGCUUUUUCCUCGGUUCAAUACAUAAUGACCGAGGCCAACUUUGGUUGGUUAAUCCGACAAGUUCAUCGAUGGUUAGCAAGUAUGAUGGUUUUAAUGAUGAUCUUGCAUGUAUUUCGUGUGUAUCUCACAUGGGGAUUUAAAAAACCAUGUGAAUUAACUUGGGUCAUAGCUGUGGUUUUGGCUAUUUUGGCUGCAUCAUGUGUCUAG